rnacentral:rRNA from 1 species
GGGUCAGUAGGUUGGUCGUGCCACCGGUACGUACUGGUCUCACUGAUUCCUCCUUCCUGAAGAACCGUAAUGCCAUUAAUUUGGUGUUGCGGGGAAACAGGACUGUUACUUUGAAAAAAUUAGAGUGUUUAACGCAAGCUAACGCUUGAAUACAUUAGCAUGGAAUAAUAAAAUAGGACGAUCGAUCCUAUUUUGUUGGUUUCUAGGAUUGACGUA